CCUCAAACCUGGCUGAAUGCAUAGAUCCUAUUCUAAAAUAAACGCGUCAUUUGCUGAUAACCUCGGUUGUGUGAGAGACAUAUUUCUGUUUGGCGAAACUAUUUCCAAAGCUAGUGAGUUAUAAAGGCCAAAUGCAGGGAGGCCAUGGUGCGAGAAGAUAUUGCAAGAAAUUAACAAGGCGAAGGCGCGGGCCAACACCAUGCACACAGUGUGUUACGAUGGCAACAACUUAUGGUUUUUUGUAACAGAGUUUAAUAGACCGAACCAAGGUAUUACCGGCGGGAAAUAUCGUGUACACCUGAGAAAUAGGACUUGCGACUAUGGGACGUUUUACGCACUUCGUUAUCCAGGAACUCAUGCCAUUGCAACUUGUCAGAAUCUUCAUUCGGAUCCCAUGAGCUAUGUCGAUGAAGUGUACAAAAUAGAAUACAUGUACAAUGUGUGGAGACACGUAUUCCUACCGGUCCCAGAUGAACGUAAGUGGCCACCUGUAUCGCUUACUCUAUUUAAGUUGUUACCAGAUAGAGAAUUGCAUCACAAACUAAAAAGUCAACAUUGCUCGAGUAUAAUACAUGAUAAUAUGGAUAUCCAGGAAAGAAUGAACCAACAAAAGUCGUGCGGAUGGUGUAGGAACCCAGAUCAUACAAUUCAAACAUGUCUAAAUCGAAAUAGUUGAUAAUUGCUUAAAUUAAACUAUGCUGCAUUAUUUCUAUUGCCUUAUUCAAAAGAACUUUUAUUUUAUUAAAUAGGAUAAAAUAUAAAAAUAAUUUACUAUUAAAAUAUUCAAAACAACUUUUAUUUUAUUAAAUAAAACAAUAUAAAAAUAGUUUGUACAAAUAUAUUAAAAAAAUCAAUGUAUGUGCCAUUCGAAAUUAGGGCCACAUGGGGGUGGUUGACAGUUACGCGCUGGAUUCCUUCUUGAUUCAACUUUCGGCACGGGCUGUGGUUGCUCCGGCGAGGGUUGUGAUUGUUCUGGUUAUGGGUGUUGGGAGGAUGACCCACCUUGAUAGAAUAAAGAAUACGGAGGUGUUUGAAUCACCCACGGCAGAGGUGUUUGAAUCUCAUAUGGCGAUUGGGAUUGGAAAUGAGAUAAGCUCCCUGACGGUGCCUCAUAUGAUCCCUCCUGAGACGAUGGUCUAUAUAUCUUCGGUUGAGUCAGAGUGAUCGGAAAAGGAGAUGCACUGGGUCAUACAUUCCAACCUGGCAUAGGACUGAGAAAAGAAAAUAUAUAAGGGUUAUGAUACACACCUGGCAUAAUCUGAAAGGGCUGUGGUGUGGGCAUUGUCGCUUGAGGCAUUGGGCCCGGUAAUUGUGUGGGCACUGUUCAUAAGCCCGUGCCGUCAUCCUUUCUCAUUGGAUUUAAAGGGCCCCGUCGUUCUCUUUCGACAUGGAUUUGCCAAUGCCUAUACUCUUCUGAGAGCAAAUAUGGCUUGUCAUAGAUCCUAAGCCAUGGCAUGUAAUCCGGUGCGCACGCUAACUCUAGAACGAUGAUCGGUUCGCGAGUAGGUAUAUGAACAUACCGAUUUUCCUAAUUUUCGAUAUAUACUGAGAAGAAUACCAGCCAAUGCAUAUUCAAUUGUCGUAAGUCAAUUUUGUGCUCAUCAUCGAGCACCUCAGGUGUCACGGAAAUUAGUUGUCAGAAUCUAAAUUGCUGCAACACUCUAUUUGUCUGGUGCAUUUCGAAAGUAGCAUAGUUGACCAAUGGGACUUUAACAUGCCAAAUGUUCAGAUUUCGAGAGAAUUCAUCUGGAAUUACUACCUGAAUUGUCGGAUCCUCAUAUGGUGUCCAUUAAAAUUAUAUGAAUGUGAUAAAAAUAUUAAUUAUAUACAUAAUACUAAAUACUACACGCUUCCGACCGUUGGUCUAAUAGAAUCCGUAUAUCUUCAAGAACGGUAAGUAUUCCAACAUAACUCGCUGAAUGGUUCUACCUAAUUAAAUAAAUUUUUAGCAAAAAAAUUAUAUUUUAAAUCUAUGUAAUUCUUGUAAAAUCUAAUAUAAAAUUUACCUCGUUAUGAGUGGGAAUGUAUAUAGGUGGUUUACUCGAGGACGUAAAAAUGGAAAACGAAAUCGAACCCAUGAUUAUAGUAGUGACAGGCAACUUCCGAUUUGGGCUUUAUUUGGUUUCGUCGCCCUACACAUCUCCCGGUACAAUGUUGUGAACACGGAAGACCCCUAACUAAGUUCGCCAGCUACUUUAAAAUUAACGAGUUUUAGCAGUCACCUCAGAUGUACAAGGUUUCAUGACACGUCCAGCAUCCGAUAACCUCCAAUGAUCUCAAGGAUGUAUGGCCGAGCAUAUCAUAUUCUUUCUAUUUCAGUCGAAUCAUUAACCGGCUCCAGAAAUGUGUCUUGUAACCAGCCAUCUCGAUCUAACCUCUGUAAAUAUUAUCUGGAAGCAUACCCAAAAUAUCGUAGCAUAUGGCUCCCCAAUCAACAGUUUGAGCGAACCUGGUGAGUACGAAACCAUCCACCGGCAAUCUCAAUUGCUACUGCGCGUCCUCUAAAGUGAUGGUACACUUUCCGCAUGGAAGAUAGAAUGUGUGCGUCUCGAGUCUCUACCUCUCUAUGAACGCACUGAUGAGUUUCGGGUUUAACUUGUACCCCCGGACUAUAUUGGCCACGUGCCAAAAACCCGCUUCCUUCAAGUAAUUUUCUAUCAACGGUGAUGGAGGACUAGAUAUAUUACGAAUAUAACAUUGUAACACCCGAUCUACAAGUUGUUAUGAAAAAUAUAAAAUAAAAAUUAAUUAAAAUUACAUAAAUGAAAAAAAUAUUAAAUAAUAUUCAAAAAUUGGAAUUAACCCUUACCAUUUUCAUUUGUUCGACGGAGAUAUGUUUAUGAUUGAGACGAAUUAAUUCUCCGGCCAUUGCUAACACUAUCAAAUAUUUUUGAAAUUAUAAAAAAUAAUACUAAUUUAGAAAAAAAUUAAAGGAAAUAAUUAAUUAAGUAGAGCUUUGAGAAAUUUAGGGAGAAAUUUGAGAGCUUUUUUGAGAAUUUUGGAAGAAAUGUUUGUGUGAAAAAAAUACGAAGGGGUUUUUAUAGUUUUUUUUUACCGUUGGACCCCCAACGGUCAAAAUUUUAAAUGACUAUUGGGGGUCAAAAACACAGGCUAAAACACGUCCCUGAGGAAGCGAUUUUGCCACGUCAGCAAAGCGCGUCCACGUCAGCGCGUUUUGUGCUAACAUGGCAAAAUCGUUCCCUGAAGGACUCGUUUUGCUGGAAUUUCCCCUUAAAAUGCUCUCACGUGGACACGUUUUAAUAUUUUUGGCUCAUUCCAGUAAAUAAUGAAAAAAGUAGCUAAUUUCCAUAAAUAAGGUAGGAAAUGACUUUUAUUGAUAAAAUGGUCUUUUUAUACAUUCAAACCAACUUUAGUUUCUUCUUUUAUUUUUUUUAUUUUUUUUAAUUUCACUAUUGCAUUUCAUACUUUAUUAAUGUACAACAAAUUUUUAAUAAACAAAAAAAAUUAUUAUUUGUUCGGUAUAAAAAAAUAGAUAUUUGAUGGAUUAACAAUGUACUUUUUUUAUUCUAUAAAUAGUCUUAAAAAUUUGAUGUGUAUCUCUUUUUUUAAAUAUCUAUUUUUUUAAUAUUUUAGUACACCUGUACAGGAUAGUUGUCAAUUCAUUGACAUUGCUUGUGGAAUUUAAAGACUCGACUGACACUGAACUAAAUAUUUUCUCAUAAAAAAUGGAUAAGUAUUUGGUACAUUGACAUUGAACUUUUUGUAUUCCACAAGCAACUAAAAAUUCUACUGUUAGUGUACUAAAUGUUAUUCCUAAAAAAAUUUAAAAAAUAUAUUAAUAAGUAGAAGGGUUGAUAUUUAGUACACUAACAAUGUACUUUUUUAUUUCAUAAGCCGACUUAAAAAAUUAUCACAUGUAUCUUUUUUUUUAAUAUUUUACUAUAUCCCUAUAGAACAUUUGUCAACCCAACCCUUACUUGUAGAGUCUAAAAACUUCGCUGGUAGUGUAACAAAUAUUAUUUUAAGGUUGUGUUUAGUAGGGGUGAGCAUUCGAUCGAAUCGAAUUGAAAAUUUUCGAGUUAAUCGAGUUUUUGAAUCUCAUUUUAUCAUCCUAACUUUAUUUCAAGUUUUCUCGAAUCGAGUCGAGUGAGAUGAAAUUCGAAUCGAAUCGAAUCGAAUAUAUUUGUUCGAGUUAAAUUUUAAAAAAUAAUUUUGGGUCCUUGUAACCACUGUCACCCAUCGUAAUAAAAUUUGUCCACCUUAAUCAAAUUUUUUAACUUUCAUCACCUCAUAAUUUAUUUAUUAAUUUUUAUAUACUGGUUAGCUUCUUUGCUUGCUUAGUUGUUUCAAUUAUCUUCAGAUUCUUGUCACUAUGUAUUUUGGAAUUAAAAAAUAUAUUAAAUGUAAAAAUAUACUUUUUAAUAAAAGUUAUUUUAAAAAUAAAAUGUGAAAUUGAUACCAAUAUAAAAUUUUAACACAAAUAUUUAUGGCAUAAUUAAUAAUUUAAUUUUAAUAUAAAUAUUCAAUAUGACUAAACAAUUCAAUAAUAUAAAUAAUAUAAAAUGUGAAAUUUAAUUUAAUAAUAUAAAUAGUAGAUAUAAAUAAAAUUAAUACUACUUAUGUUUAGUGAUUUUUUUUUGGAUAAUUUUGAUUUUUUAUUUGAGAGUAAAAGGGUGAGAAGUAAAAGUUUAGGGGGAAAAUAAAAAGUUUUGGGAAUAAAAGUUUGAGGGAAAGUAAAUAGGGGAGUAAAAUUUUGGAGGAAAAAUAUUAAAAAAAUUUGGAGGGGGGAGGGUUUGGGGUAGAUGGGAGGUGGGAUGGGAAGGGAAUAAAAAUUUUAAGGGAAAAGUGAGAGGGAGUAAAAAUUUUGGGGGAAAAUAAAAAGUUUUGAGGGGUUUUGGGAGUAAAAUUUUGAGAAAAAGUAAAUGGGAAAGUAAAAUUUUGGUGGGAAAUAGAUUUUGAGUAGAUUGGGGGGUUGGGAGGGGAGGGGAGGGGAGUAAAAGUUUUAAUAUAAAAUGUUAUAGUUUGAUAUUCGAAUUCGAAAACUCAACUCGAUUCGAACUCGAAAUUUGAAAAAAAAAUUCGAGUUGAUUCGAAUAACUCGAUUAAUUCAAUUCGUUUAACUCGAAAUUUAAUUUUUUUUAUUUUUUCGAGUCGAAUCGAGUUUUGCUCACUCCUAGUGUUUAGCAAUGCUUAAAAAAAUACUUUUGGCUUGAAAAACACUUUUUAAAAGAAAAGUUGCAUUAAACAAACAAUUUUUGGCUGAAAAGAGUGGAUUUUCAAGAGCACUUUUACUUAAAAUUUUUAGUUUUUCUUAAGCCAAAACCACUUCUGGAAACAUUCUUACUUUUUCAUCCCUCCAUUUUUCUUCUCCCAUUUUCCAUUCACUUUAAAUUGCAAAUGUUAAUGUAAAUUUUUUAAUAUUUAUAUUUGGUAUAUAAAUAUUACCCUUUUUUGAAAAUUUAAUUCAAAUACAUGUAAUAUUUUAAUUUGUUAGGUUUAUGUGUUUUUUUUAUGUUAUGUUAAUAUCUAAUAUGUGUUAUAUAUUCAAAUUACAUUUUAAAAUAAAAUUAUUAAUUAAAAAUUAAAAAAACAUUUCUUAAAAUAAUACAAAUGUGCUAAUAUCUAAUUACAAAUAUUUAAUAGUUAUAUUUAAAUAUUUAAAAUAUAGUUUUAUAUUAUAUUUAAAUUUUAUAAAUAAUUAAUAUUAAUUACUUAAAAAUAUUUAAAAUUUAUAUUUCAUAUAUUAAGAUAUUAACAACAAGUUAUAAUAAAUUAUUUUUCUAUAUUCUUAUAAAAAUAUAAUAAUAUUAACUAAUUUGAACAUUAUUUAAAUGUUUAUUUGUUACUUUAUAACACCAUGUCUAAAAUGUGCAUUUUAUUUCUUAGAAGUACUUUUUGAUAGCAAUACUAAACACUUAAAUCUUAAACCAAAUAUUUCAAAAGUACUUAUCAAAAUUAAUUUUCCAAAGCACUUUUUAAAAGCUUUUCAAAAAUACUUCUAAAAAUCACUUUUCCAAAGCACUUCUUAAAAACAAUGCUAAACUAGCCCUAAGUAGAAUUCUUAAUGGAAAUAAAUGUUAAAUUUAUUCAAAAAUUGGAUAAAUAUAGUAGGUAAGUUUUAAAAAAUAUUAUUAUUUCUAUAUAAAACUAUAAAAUAGACUAAAUUAAACAAUGUCUUAAAUCCUUAAAGUACCUUUAAUCACUCAACCAAUGAAUGUUGCAUUUUUCUCCCUUCAACUAUAAUUCCAAUCAAGUUUGGUAAAAGAAAAAGCUAGGAGUAGACUAGAUUGAUUUCAAACUAAUUUAGGAAUUAAAUUGAAAAUUAAUGUAAAAUAAAAAUUUAAACACAAUUCUUUUAUCCCGGUGGAAUAUUCCACACCAAUUUAUUUAUAAGGAAGUUUGCUUAGCCCACUGCUCAUAAAAAGUUAGGAUCAAUUGAACCGGCAUAAAAUAUGUUUAAUAAACAAAAAGAACAUUAAAAGUAUUUUUAUUCUUAAAACAGAAAAAAAAAAUUGAAUCCAAAUUUUAAAAAAUUUAUUUUAAAGAUUAUAUGGCUAAGAAAAUUUAUUUUUUAUUUUAUUUUUUCGACCCAAUCGUCGAGUCCGAGUUAUAAGGUGUCACUUUCGUUGCUGGAGCAACUACAAUCAAUUCACAGUUCAAUUUAUAACAUAAAACAUCCCGAUAUAAGUUAAACAUGUAUAUAAAACGUUUCAUGUACAUUUUCAGGUCUUAUACAAGCUUACGAAAGCUCUAUUGCUAACCCGAGGUCAAUUUAGGACCAAAUGUAAGAAUUUCAUAACAUUGGGUUGACGUUGCGACGUCAGGGGUUCCUCGUUGCAACACAACAUACUGAGUAGGUCUCAUCGUGACAUCGAAUACAUGUUGUCACAACAUGAAUCCUUUGUUGCUCCUCGUCGUGACGUUGGGGAUAUGUCGUCGUGAUGUGACAUCCUGUUUCUAUAAAAAUCAACAUGGUACAAGUUUGAGAGACCUAUAAUAAUACUUUACAUUUCAAUUAUAACCAAAACAAAAAUAUGCCAAAAUGGUGCUUCAAAACAACAUCGAGCAACCAAGUUUUAAAUUCAACCGUUUUCGGUACAAAAUCGACUUAAACCUUAGGUACAUGUCAUAUACUAAUCAAAAGAGAACUUUACAAACUUUAUUGAAUCGGGGAUCGCUUGCUAGAUGUGCUCAAACUAUCUAGAAUCUACUAUACCUGAGCACAGAGAAAACAAAUUGUACGCUGAGCAAUUACACUCAAUGGUAAUUUCCAUAUCAAGUUACAAAUAAGCAUGAUCAUAUAAGAAUUCAAUUCAAAUAUACUACAAUUCAAAUGAAACAAUUUGCGUAUUCAAUACAAGAAUUCUAUUCUCCUACAACAUUCUAUUUGAUAGCCAAACUAACAUUUAUAUCAUCCAUUCUAUUAACAAAGAUGUAACAUAUCUAAUUGAAUUACUUAUAUAUACAAUUAUGUACCAAUAUGAUGUUUAAUCUCAUUUCCAUUCAUAUUUUAUACAACUUAAUCAAUUCACAUUAUCAUUUAUAGAAACAUACGCUCCUUCAUUUACUAUGACCAAUAUGAUACCCUCGUUACCAGAACAGUAUUCCAUUAGUUUAAGACUAUACUUAUUUGGAAGCACAAUUUUAAAAUAAUAAUUUGUUGCAUUUAAAGAUUUAAUGAUGCAUGAGUUAAGCUUUGGCGGCUGUUUAAUUAAUAUCAAUAAGUCACAAAUAACGUUAUGUCAUCAAAACUUCCGAUACACAUUCAAGUGUUUAAAAUAACGUUCAAUACAUUUUAAAUGGUUUCAAAAUGGCGGUAUCUAAUAGUUGUCCUAGCACCCACAGCAAAUACAUGUUAACCCUGAAAAUAAGAAGGCUCACAAAUGGUCACAAAUUUGGUUGUAUCCCUUCAAUCACCACGCUCAACCUAAGAACAUGAAAUGAAGAAGAAUUUGGGUAAGUUCAUGUGAACUUAGUGAGUUACUGGGAAGAACGAUCCCACCAUAAUUACUAUCAGUCAUUAGGAAAUGGGACAUGUAAUUACUAUCAGUCAGUAGAUCAACUGACGAAUACUACCACAAUCAAACUCAACCUAUUGGCGGAUAGAACUGGUUACUAACUCAUAUAUGACAGUAAUCGAUACAUCUACUCCAUGAAUACGCCACUUAUAUGGGCUACCAUUUAUGACUGGCAGGCUUACUAUUUACGUUCUCAUGCAACGUGCACUACUGCAUGCAUUCUUUCUUACGUACCCAUUUUUUGUGCUAGCUUCUGAUCCCGGUUCCCGAAGAACCAAUUUUUCUUAUAUAUUCAUAUCCGUUCAUCAGAUCUAUAUAAAAAUCAAGCUCUCAUGAACUCAAAUCUAUAAAAAAUUAUAAAAAAAAGGCUUGGUUACCUUAACAAAUUUUUGGCCGAAGCUUAACUCUCAAAAAAAAAAAAAGAGUUUUUAUUUGGUUUUUGCUUCAUUAGAUGGUGGGGAAGAUGAUACUCAUCGUCUUUCUCCACUUACAUGAUUUAUUUAGUGUGAUUAACACUAAUUAACCAAGUUUAAUUAAAUUAAACUUAUUUUAUACUUUAAUUAAUCUUAAUUUAGUAAUAAUUAAAUAUCUAAUAGUAGCCAUAAUCAAAGUCCACUAAAUAAUGAUUAUUAUUGGUUUAUUAACCAUUUUAGCCCCUUGGAUAAUUACUAUCUAGGUCCCCAAGUUUUUUUCUAAUUAAAAAUCUGUAGCAAUUAAACGUUUACAAAUUUAGUCCUUGAACCUUAAUUAACUAUUAAUUCGGAAAAAUUACUGGACCAAACUUUAAGAUAACAAUAUAUUAUACACAUAAAUAUUACGAACUUGGUUUAUGAAAACGAGAUCCUGAAAUCGUAACUUUCGACACCAAUAAAUUUCAAGUCGUUACAAGUUAAUCCUAAAGAAACAAAAUUAUGAUUUUUCAAAAUUCUUCUCUCCUUAGUUGGCCACACCUUUGAAAUAAUUAAUAGAUUGCAUUUUAUAAUUGCUUAGAUAAUUAACAAUUAUAUUCACUUCUUAAUGUAAAAACAAGAAUUCAAAAUUUAUUCAUGCAUAAAGAAUUGCACUACUUGUAGCUACAAAGAUGUCAUCCAAUUUUCCAUUACUUGCAUUGAAUUUUUCCAACAUCAACUAAAUUGUUGUAUGAUCCUUAUGUAUUGCAUCAAGACAAGUAGUUAUUUCAUCUAGAAUAUUAUCUUUUACCUAUAUUUGUUUGAUUAGAUUUCGGUUCUCUUCCUUUAGACAAGAAUUCUACUCAACUAGCUUCGCAUUAACAUCACACACCUGCUCUCAUUUCUCCAGCAUUAUCUUGUAAGUCUGCAUAAACUCAGCACUUGAAUCCCAUCUAAAUCAUCAUUAGUAUUAGAGUUAGUUGUGACAGGGAUAUUAACUUUAGUAAAGAAAGCCACAUAGUUACUCACAUAUUUUUCAUUUGAAUCUAAGCUGCUUCAAGAAUCCUCUUCACUCCAUGUUACACACAAAGACAACUUGUAUGUGGCCAAAACGAUGACAUUCAUAACAUUGAAUGCCAUACUUUUUCUUUUUGGUAGACUCAUCAUUGAUCACAACACAUUUUUGUCUAUUUUUGGAGAAUUUCUUAAUAGCCUUAAACUUGUUAUUCCUCAUGGUUGCUUCUUUAAAGCUUUAAUAAAAUUCUAAGUUAGCAAUACUACCUACUUUCACAGUUAUUCGAUAAUAGUGGUACCUUCAGUUGAAAUAGCUUCUGUCACUUGUAAGGUAAUGCUCUUCUCUCCUUUAGAUAUGUUUCUUCUUAACUUGUCUAAAUUGAUCUUAAAAGCCCGUAAAGACCCAAUAAUUUCAUUGAUUCUCGUAUUAAUGUCUUUUACCUAUUCAAUGGUAGUGACUUCAAUAGUAAAUCUCUCUGGCAAAGAUCUAAGCACCUUCUUCACAAGUUUAAAAUUGGAGUACUCGUUUCCAAAGGGGAAAACUUGAUCAAAUGGGUCACACAAUUUUGCAUAUAAUUCACCAAUAUUUUUCUUUUAUUGCAUCCUGAGAGUUUCAAACUUGGUGGUUAACAUUUACAUCUUAGAUUCCUUUACAAUAUUUGUGCCUUUAUGUGAAGUCUCAAAAAUAUCUAAAGCCUACUUAGUAGUAGUGCACUUGGAUAUCCUUUUGAAUUCCUAUCCAUCCACACCACUAAAAAUUGCGUCCAAUUCCUUUGAAUUGGAAUCGGCUAGUUUCUCCUCCUUCAUGGUCCAAGUAAGCUCGAACUUUUUUGUUUCCACUUAGAUGUCUCAGUUGUAAGGAACUCCCAUCUAGUAAAAACAACAAACCAAGCUUUUCAUCCAUUGCCUUGAUGAAUGCAUUCAUCCUAGCCUUCUAGUAGGCGUACUUAGAACCAUCCAUCAUUAGAGGAUGAGACACAAGUGUUUCUUCCAUUUCAAGAAAGUAUUGACACCAGGAAUACCACUUGAUAAGUUAAGUGGGAGGCUCUUAUACCAAUUUAAAGAGGACAAGCUAAUAUUUGCUAAAACACAAGAGUAAUGAUAAGAGUAGUUACAACUACAAGUGGAAUUGUGAAAAGAAAAGAAAAAACACAUAGCAAUUCUUUACACAAUCGAUUUCCCUACAUUGGCAAGGCCUUGCCAGGGAGACAAUCCACUAUCUUUAACCUUGUAAAAACAGUGGUUUAAGUCCUAUCAUACACUAGUAUAGGAAUCUUACUUUUUGUACCUAAGAUCUAGAUCACUUUACUCUAAGCUUUCUCCUUAAAUGCUUAGAUUGUAAAACCAAGUGACUCACUUUUUUUUUACUUAGAAAAUUCAUUCACAAUGAUAAAUUCCUAAAGAAUAGAUCAAGUGCUAAACUCUUUGUACAAAACUUGAUUAAGUCUCAUGAAUAUAUGCUUUUUCGACUUGUUAACAUACUAAAUCAAUUACAAUCUCAAUCCCCAUCAAAGUCGUAAUAAAAUUAGCAUUGAGAAUUUCCUAAUAAAGUGCAGGAUAAGUUAAAGACCUCCAAGAUAAGUUUCCAGGUUAUCCAACCUAAUGUUUUCAAAUCGGGGAAUUCGAUUGCUUAAUCUAAUUCGAUCCAAUCUUAAAGAUAUGUUUCUUUAUAUGGAUCGAUCUUCAAAUAUGAGCCAACAUACAUCCAAAACAACAUCAUAGAUUACGACCCAAUUGUUUUGUUACAAAAGAUUGUAAAUACUAAAUAAGGCAAGUUACGUGACUUGCACAACGCCGCAUUGCUCACAAAACUACCUCAAACCUCAACAAUAGUUGAUAACAUAAUUAAAGUCAAUAAAAAAGCCUAAUUGAAGGAAAUUAAGUUAUUUACUUUAUUAGCUAUAAAAUCUUAUUCAUUCAUUUAGUUACUUGACGGGCAUAUACAAUUAAAAGUUAAUCAUAUAUAUAAAUUAGUUCUCGCUCUACCUAUUUGCUAUUAGGGUCGCACAUAUAUACAAACGCUAAAGAAAACAAAUAGAAAAUACUAGUUUGAUCCCUGUGCAAUGCACGAGUCUACUGUACUUAAUAAUUAAAACAUAUUAUUUUACUUCAUAUUGUUUUUUUAAUUAAAAGAUUUACAAAUAAUGUAAAUAAAGAAAUUUAAAAAUAAAAUAUUCAAAAAAUACUAUGUCAAAUUAAAUAAUUUUAAGAAAUAAGUACUUUAUUUUAAUAAAAAAUGAGAAUCCUUUUUAUUAAAUAUUCAUAAAUUGAUUUUUAAAUAGAUUUUUUAUAUUUAUAUAAUGAUUAAGAUUUGAGCCCAACAAUUUUAUUAAUAUUGUCGUUCACUUGCCGUAAUUAUAUAGUGCCACAUAGGGUUAUUUCCUAAUUUGGUUGUACAGAUUAUGUAUAAUAUAUAGGGUUAUUAUUUGAUAUAUUAGCGGUGGUGUUUUUAACUCGGCAAGGAAAUUUAAGAAACGGUCAAUUGUCUUUAAUUGAUAUUAAAAAACACUAAAUAAAUAAUACACAUGAUGGUUUUUUAAACUGUUUGUGGAAUUAAAAAAUUUCACCACUAAAUAUCAAAUAAUAAUAUUUGUAUAUUAUUUAUACAAUGAUAAAUGGUUGAGAUGUUGAUUUUCAUUUUUUACAUUAACUUGUUUCAUGCAAAUUUUUUAUUUAGCCUACAAGUCGAAUAUACUGCUUGCAAGUUAGGGACAAAAAUACAUCCAUUUAUAUGAUUUUUAUUUUACAAAUUAAUCUGGCAUAUCUUAACAUAUCAACUCCAGAUUUGGAUCUUGAAACAUGUAGACACUUGCGUUGAAUGGGCCGCUCGCUUCUAAGAGGAUGGACCUAGAUUUCUUCUCUACUAUUUGUUUUCUUGCAUUUUAUUAUUUUUAUUUAAUAAAUUAAUAAAUUAGUUCCUAUGCACUGGUUAUUCUAUUAAAAAUUAUACUCAUGUCUUCUGUUAAAAGCCGGUCCCUAUACAUUAGAAUGAGAUAAUGUGGCACACCACGUGUAACUAUCUAGUUAUUCUAUCAGCCACAUCGAUUUUUAACAAUAAAAAUCGAUAGAAAUUUUUAAUAGAAAAAGUCAGUUUACUCUUUGAUCUAAUGUAUAAAUAUUAAAUUACCCAUUUUUAAAUAAAUGAAACAAAAUGUAAUCUAUAAAUGAAACAAAAUGUAAUCUAACUCUUAACAUAAAAGCCUCCAUGAUAAUUUUAACAUAAAUUAAAUUUAUUACAAGAAAUAUAAAGGCUACACACCAUCUUUUCCCCACCUCUAAAUUUAGAGGGUAUGUAUAUUUGGGGCAAGCAUUGUUUUCUAGGUUUUAAAGUGUUAAACUUGUCCCUGUAUCAUUUAUUAAAUUAUAUUUUAAUUCUUUUGGAAAACUAAAUAAAUUAGUCAUUAUACAUUAGACGAAGGAGUAAAAUAGUAUUUUUGUUAAACUUGUGCCGUUAAUAUAAGAUAAAAUAAUAAAUUUAGCCUUCAAUCUUUACAUUUCUUUUUUCAAUUUGACUCCUACUAUUUUAUUUGGACCCUAAAAAUUUCAUCGUUGAUAUGAAACUAUUUUAUCUUAUACGUCACAUUAUCAAAUAAUUUAAAAAUUAUUAAAAAAAACUCUUCAAACUGAAAAAAUGUAAAAGAAAUAAAAAAUUAUAAUUUUUUUCCCAAAAUUUCAAUAAAAGAUAUCCAUUUUCAACAAUUUAGGUUACCAUAUUUGUUGCGGUCAUUUUGCACAUUAAGAAAUACCAUUUUCCACAAUUCCAUGGCAGCUUUGUAGUGUGAUUCACGUACCAUGACAUGUUUACAUUAAGAAUCAGUGAAUAAAUAAACAUUAAAGUUCUUUUAGCCUCUAAUUUGGUCGUAUUAGUAUUAAUAAAAAAAAUUAGAUAGUGUUUUAGAAAUCUUUGGAUUUUGUGUAAUUGUGUAACACCCCUUACUCGAGUCCAUAGCCAGAGUCGAGCAUGAGGCGUUACUUAACUUAACUUAAAGGUUCGGAGCAUAAAAAUUUACUUAUAAAAGUUAUUUUACUGUUCUUAAUAAAGCUGUCCACCUGCGCAGAAAUCACUAAAUUAAUUAUAACUCAAGAUACAAAACUCGAAAUUUAGAUCCGUAAAUUUUCUAUGAAACUAGACUCAUAUAUAUUUUCACCAUAAAUUUUUCAGAAUUUUUAGUUCAUCCAAUUAGUACAUUUUAUUAGUUAAAGUCUCCCCUGUUUCACUGGUCGACUAUCCUGACCUCUCGUCACUAAAAUUCAAUUAUCUCAUUGUACAGACUUCAUAUGGUGUUUCUACUUAUUUCUACUUAAAAUAGACUCAUUAAGGAAUCUAUACAUAUAAAUUAUAACUCUUAAUCCCUUUUUUACAAUUUUUAAUGAAUUUCUAAAGUCAAAAUAGGGGACUUCAAAAUCAUUCUGACUCUGUCUCACUAUAAUUAAGAUAUCUAAGAGUAUAUAACUCUUUUGCUUACUCUAUUUCUUUUAUGUCAAAGUAUACUCAUUUAGCUUUAAUUUCAUAUCUCACUCAGCUUCUAAUUCAAUUUACACCAUUUUUGAUGAUUUUUCAAAGUUACAUCAAUGCUGCUGUCCAAGAACUGCUCCAUUGCAAUUUUUUUUAAAAAAUUCAAUAUAACCCCUUUAUAAUUAUCUAACCUUCCCUGCAAAUUUCAAAUCACAACCAAUUCCAGUAUUUCAACUACUUCAUUUAAAUACUAAUGAAGUUCAACCAAUCAACCAUUUCAAACUAAAAACAUGUAUAUAUUUCGAUAUUUAACACAACCAUAACAUUCAAAUUUACUUUGCAUACUUAGUCAUUCAUUCUAUUACUUUUUAUCUCAAUUCCCUAUACAUGCCAUAUAAAUCCAAAUUUAUUUAACAAAAUCUACCAGAGUAAAUCUGGAUAGUGUGAUUUCUGAUGUAGAUCCGAUCCUCCGAAUGUAUAAAUACGUCAAUCUACAAAAAACAAUAAACACACACAAGUAAGCUUAUAGAAAGCUUAGUAAGUUCAUAGGCACAAAACAUGAAUCUUACGAAACAUUUAUACACUUAUACAUUAUACACCAUUACUAAGUUUACCUGUCAACCACAAUCUUUGGUGAGUUCCUUGGUAUAAACUCACUACUACUUAUUCUUUUACCAUAAUUCCUUUGGGCCCAUUUGUCACUUACCAUCCUUGAUCAAAAUUAAGGAACGAUUACGGAAAAUUGAGUACUUCACUUUCACUUUUCCAUACGAUCUCUUAUCACUUGUCCCUGAUCAGAUAAGUGUAGCUAGGCUACCACUUAUCACUUUGUCACUUGAUCAGAUAAGUGUAGCUAAAGCUAUCACUUAUCACUUUAUCACUUGAUGAGAUAAGUGUAGUUAAAGCUACCACUUAUCAGUUUGUCACUUGAUCAGAUAAGUGUAGUUAAAGCUACCACUUAUCACUUUGUCACUUGAUCAGAAGUACUCAAAUCUGGCGUUCCGCUCAAUUUGAUCAUUUGUUCAGUUUUCGCAUUUUUAUUUUAUUUUCAUUUCAUCAAUAAAUAUAUAUUUCAUCAUACAUUAUAUAAUUCAUGAAAUUAACAUUUAAUCAUAAAAUUUCGGCCAUAUGAACUUACCUAGAUCGAUUUGCAGAAUUUGUAAAAGUUCAGGGGCUAAUCGGCUACUUUUUCUUUUCCUUGACUUGUUUCGGGUUCUCGAUAUAAAAUAAAAAUUUAUUCAUUCAUCAACAUAUAAUUCAAUUCUAAUUCAUUUAACAAUUUAUGCCCUUUAAUUUUCUAAAUUACACUUUUACCCCAAACUUUACAAUUUUUACAAUUUGGUCCCUACUUAAUUAACCCCUCAAUUGAUCUAAUUUUUCUCAAUUAACACCUUUUACAACUAUUUUAGACUACUUCAUAGCCUUUAAUAUUCAAAACCGCAACACCAAACCUUAAUUCCCAACUUUUUCACAAUUAAGUCCCUAAAAUCAAUUUCUAUCAAAAUUACUUAAUAAAGUCAUCAUAUAACAAAUUUAAAGCUUUAAUUCCAUGUUUAUUCAUAAUAAAAAUCAAUAACUCAUCAAUGGUAACUCUAAAAAUCAGCCAUGAGAUAAAAAAACUAAUGAACUAAUUAGUUGGACUUAUUUGUAAAAGUAUCAAAAUCACAAAAAUUAGAAGAAAUAAUCAAGAAUUAAACUUACAUGAUUCAAAUAUAUGAAAAACCAGCUUGUUUCAGACCUCCUAUGGCGUUUUUCUGAUAAAUUGUGAAGAGAUCUCUAGAUUUUUCACUUUUGUCUUUGUUUUAUAUGCUUAAUUUGUUAAGUUUCCAAUUUUGCCCCUGUUUCUCCUUACAUUCUGCUGAUUUUUCUUACCCAACCGUCCAGCCCAUAUAAUUUGGGCCUAAUUUCCUUUUAAAUCCCUCCUCAUUAGUCACUUAAGCUAUUUUUAUCACAAUUUAACAAAUUUUACACUAUUUUCAAUUUAGUCCUUUUUAGUUAAUUAACUGUCCAAACGUUAAAAUUUUCUAACGAAACUUUAAUACCAACUCAAUGACACUCUAUAAAUAUUUCUAAAAAUAUUUAUGGCUUGGUUUAAAAUCUUCGACGUCUCGAUACCUCGUUUUUGAUUUUAAUUAUUUUAAUAUUUAUUCCUAGUACACUAUUCACUAUUUCAAAAAUUUUCCUAACUUCACAUUUAACUUAUACUUACUAAAUUUAUAAUAUUUUCUACUCGUUUAUCAGAUUUAGUGAUCUCGAAUCUCCAUUCCGACACCACUAAAAAUUUAGGCUAUUACAAAUUGUUUGUAAUUAUAUAUAGGUGGUAUGUUUGAAUAAUCAUUGUAAUUAGUGAGUUCCAUCGAAUUGAGUGUAAUUGGAGUAGAGGUAUCCUUAAGCCAGGUUGGGUUGGACCCAAGCUCGGUUCCAAUAAUUUCAAACUCAAGCCCGUUUUUGGACCGCCCGCCCAAAAAAUCAAUUUUACUAUUCAAAAAAAUAUUAUUAAAAAUAAUAUUUUAAUUGAUAUUUUAUAUACUUUUAUAAUUAAAUUUAAAUUUAAAAAAUAUUUUAUUAUUAUUAAAUUGAAUUUGUGUCGAGUUGAGGUGCAAAAAUCCUUGUCCAAGCUCGAUUCUAGUCGGGUCAAGUCACAUAGACUACCCGAUCUUUGGACAAGUCUAAAUUGGAGCACCCUAAUUACACUUUCCAGUUUUUAGAGUGAGGGUGAGAAUUGAAGUAAUUACGUUGGUGUUACACUCAAAUCCAAUUUUAAAAAUUAUUUUGAUACAAGUUAUAAAAGAAGAAAUUAUUCAGUAUAUUGUUAGUGGAGUUUUUAAACUCUACAAAUAGGAUAAAGAGUUUGACAAAUGUCUUAUAAGGGUAUAGUAAAAUAUUAAAAAAAACACGUCAAAAUUUUAAGGCUGUUUGUGAAAUAAAAAAAGUACAGUGCCACCCAAUAGUUACUCUUAUAAAAGAAUAUAUUAUAUCUAUGAACAUGUAUAAGUGUUUGGGAUGGUUAUGACAAAAGAAUUCGUGUAUUAUAAAUCCUAAAAGCUUAUAUUAUAAAAGUAACUUGUGUAUUUUAUAAAAUUAUAAUAUAUAUUAUUUAAAUCUUAAAAAAUUCUAAAAUUAUGAUAAAAAAUUAUUAUAAAAAACUAAUUUAUAUGUUAUAAAAAUGUUGUUAUAGCAUUUUUAUUUAUAAUAAGUUAGGGCAAAAAAAUAUGGAUAUAAUUUAUUUAUGUCCUAUAUAAUUUACCUUACUUAAAUUCGGACCUGACCCGGUCUGUCUAUAUUUAAUUUUUUAGAUUAUUUUUUAUUUAAAAAUAUUUUUUUUAAAAAUAUAAUACACUAAAUACACUAAAAAUGCUAAAAUAAAAGUUUUCUAACACAUUAAAAAUAUUUAUAUUAAAAAAGACUACCAUAAAUAUAAUAUAUGCUUUAUUAUAUUAAAAGCGCAAAUAAAUAUAAUAAAUAAUUUAUUGUAUUAAAUAUAAAUUUUAAAAUUUUAUAUUUUGGAUUGGGUUAUUUAGUUGGGUUACUUUUUUUUAGGUUUUGGAUAAUGAGUUUAAUUGUUAUUGAGUUAGUGGUUUAAUAUAAAUAAAUAUAGAUAUAAACAUAUAUAAUCAUUUUUUAUAACAUAAUAUAUUCGGGUCGAACUGAGCUCGUGUCUAAAAUAUUACCCGAGGCUUGGCCUAUAUAGAAAACGGAUAAUAAAUUUUACCCAAUCCCAUUUUUUGGGUCUCAUAUUUUUGUCUAAACUUCUCAUAGUUCAAGUGGAUCUUUAGACCUAAAUGAGUGUAAUGGUGUAUGUAUAGGUUUUAUAGAGCAAAACUAAAAAUAUAUGUAGGGGUGAUAUUGAAUUAUAAGUGUUUUUAGGCUGAUGAUAUUCAAGCGUUUGAAGGAAGAAGAGACCCAAACACUUGUUUGCGACUUCUCUUGAAAUUGUAUAAUCAAUUAUAGUUUUAACAAGAGUUGGUCUCUCACCUAUUAAUUAUAUAUAUCAAUACAAUAGCAUGAGAUUGGUGGUUGAGGGUAAAAGUAUAAAGAAUAUUAAAUAUAAUUAAUAAUUUUUCUUUUAAAAUUAUUCAAGUUUCUUUUUGCUUUCCUUUAUUUUCUUGUGAGUAGUUAAGAAAAUUUUAUGUUUGCCAUACCUUAAUUUUCGUAUCAGUUGUUAAGAAAAUGAUUUUUUUUUUCUAUCAUUUAACAUUUUUCUUUAAAUUUUAAAAUGUGUUUAAAAAUAUUUUCUUUUCGAAAUUCUAUUUUUUUUAAUUUGGAAUUCUGUGUUUUAUUUAUUUAUUUUAGAACAUAUUUUUAUAAUUUUAAAAAAAAUAUGUCUGAAAAUAUAAAACAAAAUAGUGUUACAUAAGCAAGGUAAGAUUGGUGAUCAAUUUACUUCAAAUAAAAGAAUAAGGGCCAAUAUGAAUAAAAGUGUAAAAGUUAAUGGAUAAAACAUCAAAAUAUAAUUCUUUUACAUGCAAAGUAAUUUACCCAUUUUUGGAUAAAAAGACUAAGCUCCAGCCUGGAAUUAAGCCUCCAGUGAGGUGAAAUGCAUUUUCAACCUACUGAACAAUGCUUUCCAAAUAGUCUUGCGUUUACUAACAUUUCAGUUGCAAUUUUUUUUAGCUUAAAAAAGCCAACGUACUGAGAUGCAGUUGCAUCCAAAGGAGGCUUAAAUUAAAUAUAUAUGAAGAUAGUUGUAGACUGCAAUGAUAGUAAAUAAACAUCCUUUCUUUGGACAUAUGAGCAUGGAAUAUUGUGUACCUGUAUUUAAGGAAUAUCCUAAUCCCACGAGCCAUGUUCUGGUGCCCAGACAGGCUGCCAGAUGCUUCUUCCAAAAACCAUUCAAAUCAGACAUCGACUACCAAACCGUCAGGCAAGCCCGACAUCUAUUGAAAUUCAACCUCAUUUCAUAUUGAUCGUCUCAUUCCUAAACAUUAGCUCUUCUCUGGGUUUGGUUUGGUCUAUUGCUUUAAAUCAAUUAUCCCAAAAUGACUCCUAGAAUCUAGGUGCUAAAAUAAGUAGUCGAUUCAUAUGAAAUGAAAACGCUGUUGCUCGCAUACUAGCGCUACUAAAUGACCAAUUAUUGCUUUGGACGAAUGCAGCAUGUGAUUUGCCCUGCCAACACAAUAUUCUUCCAUUUCCAGUGGUGGCCAACCGGAUUGAUUAGCUUAAGUGUCAAUUGGUCCACUUCUGAUUUCCUACCCAUUUAAUAUUUGUUGCCAAUGUUAAAGAGUAAGGGAUGAGGAUAGCCAUUAACCACCAUCCGCUCUUUAAAUAAUACCUAAAAUAGGCAACCACCCACCCUGCUUCAUCCAUCAAAAUUUCACAAAGUAAAUAAAAAACAAACCUAAAUUAAGGAAUUCUUUUUUCGUUAAAACUCGUUUCAUAAUCCCAUUAUUGCUAUGUUGUUGUAUCAAAGAGGAUCGUCUUGCUCAAGACUCUAGAGUGUAGCCAGCUCAUUCCAGCAAACUCCCACUCCCUACAUCUUAUCCCUUAAAAUCCCCCCCACUGGCUCUCUCCUUCACAUAUUCCUUUCCAACACAAACCAAAAGACAUGGCUUCAUCAUCUCCUCUUUCUCCCAUUCUCCUCUCUCUGUUUCUAGUAUUCAUUUGUGGGGUGUCAGCUCAAACGGCUCCCGCCCCUGCCCCCUCUGGCCCCUUGAAUUUCACUGGAAUCCUUGACAAAAAUGGCCAAUACACCUACUUCCUUCAGCUUUUGGCACAGACUCAAGUUGGGAGCCAAGUACAAACUCAACUGAAAACCACCACUGAAGGCUUUACCGUCUUUGCUCCCACAGAUAAUGCCUUCAACAACCUCAAACCUGGUACCGUCAAUAACCUGGACCCACAACAGAAAGUACAACUAGUUCUAUACCACGUUAUUCCCAAAUACUACUCCUUGAACGAUCUCCAAUUUGUUAGCAACCCCGUUAGAACCCAAGCUGGUCAGGAUUUCGGCCUCAACGUCA
rnacentral:lncRNA from 1 species